rnacentral:rRNA from 1 species
UACGGGGGGUGCAAGCGUUAUUCGGAAUUAUUGGGCGUAAAGGGUGCGUAGGCGGUUUUGUAAGUCAGAUGUGAAAUCCCGGGGCUUAACCCCGGAACUGCAUUUGAUACUGCAAGACUUGAGUAUGGGAGAGGAGAGCGGAAUUCCUGGUGUAGAGGUGAAAUUCGUAGAUAUCAGGAGGAACACCGGUGGCGAAGGCGGCUCUCUGGACCAAUACUGACGCUGAGGCACGAAGGCGUGGGGAGCAAACAGG